UGACGACCGGAUAUACAAUGAGUUAUGUGUCCCUCAAGAUGGUUUGAAAAGCAGUCUGUAAGGAAAGGUUGGAGACCAGGCUUACAGAAUUUAUGUUACAGGAAGGAGGAAGAAAGAUCUCACCCAGCCUCAUGGCAGACCCUAUUAUUGGACGAAACAAAGCAGCGAUCAUGAAAUCUUCAAAUUGUAAAAGGAACACUUGCUAUUGACUUCUACGUGACCUCGGCAGGUUUGAGAUGGCGAAUUUUCAGAUUCAGACUUUUAGCAGUUUCGGGG